CGAGUCGAGCGGUAGCACAGAGAGCUUGCUCUCGGGUGACGAGCGGCGGACGGGUGAGUAAUGUCUGGGAAACUGCCUGAUGGAGGGGGAUAACUACUGGAAACGGUAGCUAAUACCGCAUAACGUCGCAAGACCAAAGUGGGGGACCUUCGGGCCUCAUGCCAUCAGAUGUGCCCAGAUGGGAUUAGCUGGUAGGUGGGGUAACGGCUCACCUAGGCGACGAUCCCUAGCUGGUCUGAGAGGAUGACCAGCCACACUGGAACUGAGACACGGUCCAGACUCCUACGGGAGGCAGCAGUGGGGAAUAUUGCACAAUGGGCGCAAGCCUGAUGCAGCCAUGCCGCGUGUGUGAAGAAGGCCUUCGGGUUGUAAAGCACUUUCAGCGGGGAGGAAGGCGAUGAGGUUAAUAACCUUGUCGAUUGACGUUACCCGCAGAAGAAGCACCGGCUAACUCCGUGCCAGCAGCCGCGGUAAUACGGAGGGUGCAAGCGUUAAUCGGAAUUACUGGGCGUAAAGCGCACGCAGGCGGUCUGUCAAGUCGGAUGUGAAAUCCCCGGGCUCAACCUGGGAACUGCAUUCGAAACUGGCAGGCUAGAGUCUUGUAGAGGGGGGUAGAAUUCCAGGUGUAGCGGUGAAAUGCGUAGAGAUCUGGAGGAAUACCGGUGGCGAAGGCGGCCCCCUGGACAAAGACUGACGCUCAGGUGCGAAAGCGUGGGGAGCAAACAGGAUUAGAUACCCUGGUAGUCCACGCUGUAAACGAUGUCGAUUUGGAGGUUGUGCCCUUGAGGCGUGGCUUCCGGAGCUAACGCGUUAAAUCGACCGCCUGGGGAGUACGGCCGCAAGGUUAAAACUCAAAUGAAUUGACGGGGGCCCGCACAAGCGGUGGAGCAUGUGGUUUAAUUCGAUGCAACGCGAAGAACCUUACCUGGUCUUGACAUCCACAGAACUUUCCAGAGAUGGAUUGGUGCCUUCGGGAACUGUGAGACAGGUGCUGCAUGGCUGUCGUCAGCUCGUGUUGUGAAAUGUUUGGGUUAAGUCCCGCAACGAGCGCAACCCUUAUCCUUUGUUGCCAGCGGUUAGGCCGGGAACUCAAAGGAAACUGCCAGUGUAAACUGGAGGAAAGGGUGGGG
rnacentral:rRNA from 1 species